GAUGAACGCUGGCGGCGUGCUUAACACAUGCAAGUCGAACGGGGUACCCUUGACAGAGGCUUCGGCCAAUUGAUAGGAAUACCUAGUGGCGGACGGGUGAGUAACGCGUGAGGAACCUGCCUUGGAGUGGGGAAUAACAGUUAGGAAUAGCUGCUAAUACCGCAUAAUGCAACUAAGUCGCAUGGCUUUGGUUGCCAAAGAUUUAUCGCUCUAAGAUGGCCUCGCGUCUGAUUAGAUAGUUGGCGGGGUAACGGCCCACCAAGUCGACGAUCAGUAGCCGGACUGAGAGGUUGGCCGGCCACAUUGGGACUGAGACACGGCCCAGACUCCUACGGGAGGCAGCAGUGGGGAAUAUUGGGCAAUGGGCGCAAGCCUGACCCAGCAACGCCGCGUGAAGGAAGAAGGCCCUCGGGUUGUAAACUUCUUUUAUUCGGGACGAAACAAAUGACG
rnacentral:rRNA from 1 species